rnacentral:rRNA from 1 species
UGAACGCUGGCGGUAUGCCUAACACAUGCAAGUCGUACGAGAGUUUUUAACUCUAGUGGCGGACGGGUGAGUAACACGUGAGAAUUUACCUUUAGGAGGGGGAUAACAAUCGGAAACGAAUGCUAAUACCCCAUAUGCUUUCGAGUGAAAUGGAUUUAUAUUUAUCCGCCUAGAGAGAAGCUCGCGGCUGAUUAGCUUGUUGGUAAGGUAAGAGCUUACCAAGGCGACGAUCAGUAUCUGGUUUGAGAGGACGAUCAGACACACUGGAACUGAGACACGGUCCAGACUCCUACGGGAGGCAGCAGUGGGGAAUUUUCCGCAAUGGGCGAAAGCCUGACGGAGCAAUACCGCGUGAGGGAAGACUGCCUAUGGGUUGUAAACCUCUUUUUUCAGGGAGGAAGUAAUUGACGUGUACCUGAAGAAUAAGCAUCGGCUAACUCC